UACGAAGGGGGCUAGCGUUGCUCGGAAUCACUGGGCGUAAGGCGCACGUAGGCGGCUUUCUAAGUCAGGGGUGAAAUCCUGGAGCUCAACUCCAGAACUGCCUUUGAUACUGGGGAGCUCGAGUCCGGAAGAGGUGAGUGGAACUCCGAGUGUAGAGGUGAAAUUCGUAGAUAUUCGGAAGAACACCAGUGGCGAAGGCGGCUCACUGGUCCGGUACUGACGCUGAGGUGCGAAAGCGUGGGGAGCAAACAGG
rnacentral:rRNA from 1 species